rnacentral:misc_RNA from 1 species
CGCACAUUGCGCCCGCCAGUAUUCUGACGGGCAUGCCUGUUCGAGCGUCAUUUCAACCCUCAAGCCCCCGGGCUUGGUGUUGGGGAUCGGCGAUAGUCGCCGUCCCCCAAAUCUAGUGGCGGUCUCGCUGUAGCCUCCAUUGCGUAGUAGCUAACACCUCGCAACUGGAACGCGGCGCGGCCAAGCCGUUAAACCCCCCAACUUCUGAAUGUUGACCUCGGAUCAGGUAGGAAUACCCGCUGAACUUAA